UAUUUUUUUAUGUUUUCCAAUUAUACUUUUUCAAAUUCGAACUUUUUUACGAAAUUUUUUUUUUGAAUUUUUUUUUCGAAUUUUUAAUUUUUUUAAAUUUCUUUUUUUGAAAAACGAAAAUUAUGUUUGAAACUAUUUUUUAAAAUUUUUUAUAUAUUUUUUUAGUAUUUAUAUAUUUAUUAGAAUUAUAAAUUUCACAUUCCAAAAACCCUACUCCACCCUCAACUUUAAACCAUAAGUCUAGAUUAGUUAACCCUAAGGGUAUAAUUGUUUUUUACCUCUCAUUAAAAGUGAAGGUAAAAGUGGUUAGUAUAAACAUGAAAAGUGGUACUAUGAAUGUAGUAUUUGUGGCAAUUUUCCUUGUUUUUCUAGGACGCACAAGUAAUCUAAAAGAGAGGAGAAUAAAAGUUAAAACACAUUAAAAAGAGUCAAAUAAUAAAAGCUAAGCCAAUAUAAAGCUAAGUUUAAUUUUUGUUAUUUUUUUAGCUUUUCUAUUGGUAAUUUGUUUUAAUUAUUCAAUAUAUAUAUAUAUCAGUUUAUAAAAAGUAUUUGAGAUUUAUUAGCGUGAAGAAAUCGAAAGCAUUAGCUACCAAAUUCCGUGAUCGAAAUUAAAAUCUUAGCAUAUUUAUUUGUUUGGUCUUAUCUUUUGUUUUUUGACAUCUUGUUUGGUCUUAUCAAAGCUCACUUUAACUUUCUCAUUCAAAAGUUUGUAACGAUUUUGAAAUAGGCCAAUUUAGAUAAACCUUCUGAUUUCUUGAUAGCAAUAUAUAUCAAUCAUUCAGCAUGAUUAGUUUAUAUUUAGGCUGAUGUAUACCAUACUUACAUCCAUUUUUACGCAUCAAGAGUCAAUAUACGAACUCACACGCGAUCUUAUAUUGGCUCCUACAAACCUGCAGGAUUAUAUUCUCGAAUCAUCAAUAGUACUUAUUUGGUUGUGAUUUGUCUUCGGCUUUGAAUCAAGUUUUCUAGACAACCAAGAAGAAAGUUAAAAAAAAAAAAAAAAUUCUGAGUAAAAAUAAUUUAGCCAACUAUUUUAUUGACAAGAUUAUAUUAACAUAUAGUCAAGCGUAUGGUUACAAAUUAAAAAAAUUAUAUUAUUGCCAAACCAUUGCAUAUGUUUAUCGUUUAAACGAUUUUAGGAUGUUUUAUAUAUAAAAUACUAGGUGGUUGUCUGCAAAUUUGCGGAUAUAAAUAUUAUAUAAAAAUAAAUAUGAUGUAUACAAUGUCAUAUAGGUUGAAACAAUAAAAAUAUAAUUUUUAAAUUUAAAUAAUUUGAAAAUCAGUCGUAAAAAUUCUAUAAAAUUGAUGUAAAGAUAACUGAUGAAUAUUUAGUAAUAACAAAUGAUUGUGAAAUUAUAUAUGUAAUUAUCACAUUAAGUUCACCAACACAUAUUAUGCAUCUUGUUCAGCCUCUUCUUAUUUUUCUCAUUAUCAUUUUGUUUUUUAAUUAAUUUUUACUAAUGUUUUUCUAAUUUUUACAUAUUUUUUUGUCAAAUAUUUAUUCUUUCUCUAAAUAAUAAUACAAAACAUAAAAUCAAUAAACCAAAAAUCCAUCUUAAAUUUUUUUUUCUAUCAUAACAUUACUUUAUUCACUAUAUUAUUUAACUUAUGUGAAAAAUAUUUUUUAAAUCAAAGUUCUCACAUGUUCCGUUUAAUAUAAUAUGCCAUUUCUUCAAAGUAUAAUUAUUUAUAAAGCAUAUAUGAACAUUAUAAAAGAUUGAUAAUUAUUAUAGAUAUGACUAUAUUUUUAUAUGAAUAUGAAAUCAUUAUAUUGAUCUCUAUAAAUUGUUUUCUAUUCAUUAUUUUAUGUAGUAUAUAAAUAUAAAAAGAAUUGAUAAAACAUUAUUACACUUUCUAUAACUUUUAAAAUUAAACACCAUUAAUUAUUAUUUGUAAUAUAACUUAGGUUAUUUGGAAAGUGAUAAUAAUUAAAUUUAUACUUAACUUUUAUUUUAGAUCUAAUUUAAAUAAUUAAAAUUAUAAAAAAAAUCGUCCAUUAUAUUAUUUAGUGUAUAAAUAUAAAAAACAAUUUAUCAAACAUUAUAAUUCUUUAUAUAAUUUCAACAAUUAGUUCCAUAAAUCAUUAUUUGUAAUAUAAUUUAGAUUAUUUGACCAGUGAUAUUAAUUGGUUCUAGAUUUAAUUUUUUUUUAUUUUAAAUAUAAAAUAAAAUAAAUAAAAUUAAAGUUUAUCGACCAAGAAAAUCAUAACAAUUUUCUUAAGACUUCACAAAUGAUCGAUGUGUAAGCAAAAAAUACUUAAGUGACUUCUCGUUUAAUAUAUAGGAAAAAAAUAUUUUUCAUAAAUGUUUUAUAAACUCAUAUAAAUAAUUUAAAGUUAAGAUGAAAUAAUUUUGUAAGCCAUGAUAGAUAAUUUUAUAAAUGUUUUAUUUUUUUUUAUAAAUGACUUGUAAGACAUAUAUGGACGCUAUAAGACAUUAAUAAUUAUUAUAAUUCGUUAUAUACAAAUAUAGUGUUUAUAUAAGAAUAUGAAAUCAUCAUAUUGAUUUCUAUAAAUUAUAUUGUACUAAUUAUUUUAUGUAGUAUAUAAAUAUAAGAGAAUUAAUCAAACAUUAUUACACUUUCUACUAUUUUGAUAAUUAGUUACCAUAAAUUAUUAUUUGAUUAUUAUUUGUAUAUCAUUUUGACUAUUUGGUAAGUGAUAUUAAUUAGUUCAGACUUAACUUUUAUUUUAGAUCUAAUUAAAAAAUAUUAAAAAUUGAAUAUCUUUCAACCAAUCAAAUUAUAAUAAUUUUUCUUAAAUUCUCUAUCAUUGACACAUGUGACUUCCCAUUUAUUAUAUAGGAGGAUUUGUCAUUAACAACAGUUACAGACUUACAGUAUUAUUUAGUAUAAGUAACAUUUUAAUUUGAUGUUUGCUCACAAACUAAAGAAAAAAAGGAAAUUCUAAAAAAAAAAAAAGAAGAAGGAAAUUCUGGACUCCUUCUCAUCCUGUUUUUAGACGAAUCAGUUCUGGACGAGAUAUAGAUACAAGACUUAGUCUUAGUUAAGAAAGCAUCACUAUAUGAAAAGAGACGUAUGUAUACAGAUGAAGAUAUUGGCCACACAUGUUAUGAUGCUAUAGGUCGAUAUGAUCUAGGUAGGUUUGAUAAGGACUAGUUCAAGACGGGCUAUAUAAUAUUUCGGACCUAAAGUCUAGUCUUGGGACUUCAGAACCAAAUCAAUUAAUCAACGAUUAAUUUUAUAAAGCAAAACUAGCCUGUUUGCUGGAUCCGAUCCAAUCUCGGUAAUGGAAAGUUUGGAAUUUACGCAUGGGGGCGGUCCAGACCCCUAACUCUUUUUAUAAUCGAAAAAGUCAUAACGAAGGAAGCAUGACAUCAAAUACACUCAUCUUUUGAUUGGGUGUCUGCCUAUCUAGCUAAUUCGUGGGUUCCUACUUCCUACCCAUAGCCAUAGUUAGUAAUUAGCAUGUAUCUCCCCGGGUCAUACUUGAAUAUCACAUCAUAGAAUUACACAUUUAAAUUCAAUAUAAGUCCAUAAAAUGCAAAAAUACUUGCUUUAACCCAAACUUUCAAGAAGCCCAUCAUCGGCUUGGGCCUCCACAAAGCCUAUCGGCACAACUAAUAGUUAAUAAUGUGAAGAAUUAAGCAGAAGAAUAAUGAAGUGCCAAGAGAUGUGUUUGUUUCGCUUUCUCAAGAUAAUCUUGUUUGAGAUUUUCCAAAACGUUUCUUCCACUUCCAUAGCUAUGUCGAUUCAAUGCCUAAACUGUACUAAAAUCCAGCAAAACACAUGCCUAAAAACCACUCAUAAUUUUGCAAUACCAACUGUUCUAUCAGCCCUAAAUUCAGGUAUUGAUGGAGUCAAGUAAUGGGAUGGUAGGCUAGUCCUUGCGUACAAUACAGACUCGAGAGGUGUGCUCAAAGUAGGAGUUUCUUUUAGACGACGGUGAUUGCUGGACUGAUGUUUUGACGUUGGAAAAAAACAACGUUGGAGGAGUCUUCGGGAAUGGAGUUUUCGUAUCCCGCAGUUAUACAAGCCGGAGAGAGAAAUGUUCACGUCCCUUAUACAUAUAACAAGACAGAUUUAGGUAAAUUAAGACAGGAUUAUAUGAGUUUGUUUCUUUUUUGGUUUUUAUUCAAUCACUUUGUGUGCUCUCUGCACGGCAGCAUGUCGUGCUCAAGACUGCGAUUCCGAGGCCAUACUGGGAACACGGUAAACUAUAAGGAGGACACGAGGACGUAGAUUAAGUACGAACUAACUUUAGUUAAGUAGCAAAUUGGGUCGAGUUUGUGUAUGAACCAUGGAUGUGGAAUGUAACAUUUUUCUUAGGGAAGAACAAAGAUUGUUUCUCUUUCGUGUCUUGUAAGUUACGGGUUGAUUGAUUCUUGAGCCUUUAAUUGCGCUCCUAGUUGUUUAGUUGCUGAAUAUUAUUGAGAAAAUAUUUAUUUUUAAAAAUCAUAUAAGCUAGAAUAUUACUUUACAUAUAUACUGUAUCAUUUUAUGGAUUUAUGCAAGAGUUAUUUAAAUAAUUGUAGACUAUGGUCCAAAAAUAAUAAUGGAAGGAAAUACUUCAUUGUCGGUAUAGUUGAGUUGUAUUAAAUUUGAUUGAAGGAAUUCAUUUAUUUUUAAUAACAGAUAAUAACUAAAAAGUGACAGACCAUAUCGAUCUCCAACUUCCAAAUUAGGAAGAUAUCAUUAAUUAUCAUCUGUCUGUCUUCUGUAGCAUUCGCAUUACGUAUCUGUAAUGUGAACAGAUGAUUAAAAACGCCAUUAGAAAAUGUACGAUGAUCUUUAAUCUCCUCCAGGGAAUAGGUUACCUUAAUUAAUAAUAGUACUGGAGUCUGUGGUAUCAAGUUUAUCGUAUAUAUACAUACAACACUCAUAUAUGUGCGGUCACAGGUGAUAGGUCAUUAUUACGUCUAAGUGUCGAACCACUUAAAACUCUUCUAACUGAACUAAACCCAAUCGGAUUCUUUUCUCAUUCAAUUGUUGAUUUGGUAUUAACUUUUUUGUACAGUUACUCCUAAAAAUGAUUCUAAAAUCACGCAGCUCUCGUACUACAUCAUGUAUUUAAAAAAUGUAAACAUGUGAGAUUUACAUUUUAAUAUUUAAAAUAAAAUCAGGAUUUAUUAAUAAAACCGCCUUGCCGCAUAUAGAAUACAUAAAAUACCAUGGCUUGUGUAUAAUACGCCCCCCCCCCCCCCCCCCCAUAAUUAAUAGUUUAAUAAGUGUGUGUGUAGACAAAAUCUAAGUGUCUAAAUACACUGCAGACUAUAACGGCAAACUUUUUUCUUCUUUCAAUACACAACUCUGCUUUUGUUUUUAUUCCUGCUAAACUUAUAUAUAUGUGUGGUGUGUGUGAGUUCUCUAACAAAAAAAAAAUGUAGUGGUGUGUGUGAGUGACUGAGUGUUCGAGAUGAAGUGUGUAUAUUUAUGUAUUAUAUAAUGUAUUUGCCGCGUUUGGGAUAGUAUCAGAAAUUUAUAUACGUAUAUAAAUCUUAUUCAAAAUGACGAAAAUAAUAAAAUAUUGGAGAAAUGUAAUAAAAGAAUACUUUUAGAGAAAUUAAAUGGAUGAAUGCAAGGUGUAACAUGCCCAGCGGGAAUUUCGGGAGGUACAACUUUGAUAGAUGAUCGAAGCAACACUUCUUUUGUUUCUUUUACUGAUGCGUGUUAUUGCACUUAGGAUCAGCCCACAUGUAUUGGUGACCAAAAUAACAACAACAAAAAAAGUGUUACUCUCAUUUUUGCUUAUUACAAACAAGUUCAAUUAGAUAUAAGAAUAAUCUAAAUUUCCAGACAUGUCCCAGCUCUAUAGAAAGGGAGACAAAUAUGCAAGAGCCAUGAUGGAACCAAUUAUUGCUUAAAGUAUUAGAUCAUUCUCUUUAGAAUAACAAAGAGAAAGUAUUAGAUCAUUUUUCUGUAAAUGAACUUACAUAUAUGCUGAAUAGCUGAUAUCUUAAUUUGUAUGACUAGACUUUGGUCGAUAAAUAUAUGCAUAAAUGUUUCAAGCUGUAUAUGGGACUUGUGAUAAAGGAUUUUUAUUAAAUGAAAAGGAAACGUGGGUAGAUUUUUGUCCGUGGUUGCGAUGGUCCCUUACUCCAUUGGACACUAAAUACAUUAUCACCUAAGUUUUUGUUUCAUGUAAUGAAUGUGUCUAAAGAUAAGCGUCAAUGAACGCCAUAUGUUCCAAGCAAAUCAAAUUCACAUUUAGCCUUUAUUUAUUUUAUCAUUGUUAUUUAUUCAUUGACAUUAAUUUCUAUCCCGAUACUGAAUCUAUCAUAUACAUCAUGAAAGACAUAGCUGAUUUAAUUUGGUUUUGGUCAAAUGCGUGUACAUGUGCGUAAUCAAUUUCCUGGCCGACUUGCUCUUUACGAAUAACAAUUGACCACACAAACUUAUAGUCACUUUUCCACCUUAUAGCGUAUUUUAAGUUGUUAAGCAUAUAUGCAUAUAACUCCAAUAAAAAAUAGGUAAAACAAAAGCAAACGGUCCUUUGGCAAUAUCUUUUGUUCAUAAUUCGGUUAAUAUAUGAUUUGGAAGUGUAUGAAAAUUAAUGUUUCAAAAUUUGGUUAUUACAAAAUUAAAGUGGCGAGGGUCAAUAUGACAACGGAGGAUUUUGUGGUGGACAGAAGACGAGUAAGACUUCUCCACUAGUUCAUGAUGCGAAAAAACGCUGCCUCCUUUGAUUCCAUUCAUCUCUUUUACGAGCAGCCCAAUUGACUAAAACAGACCAACUUCUAGAAAGUUCUAAGACGAGAUAGUCUGACCUCAGUCAAACCAUUCUUUAUACGCGGUUUAUGAUUUAAAAGCAUCAAAAUACACACAUAUGACAUAUGCUUGGGCAGUUUGCUCGUAUAAACGAGGCUGCUUCCUCUGAAUCCACAUUCCAUAAGAAAACGUUAGGUUUAAGGGGUUAUAUAUUUGAUUUCUGUUAAGAAUUUUUUUGAGGAGUAUUAAUUUAACAAGACUUGAAUUUCUCUAUAAAGAUGUAAGAGACUUCGGGCCCAGAAUUUCAUAGACAAUUAGACAUUCAAAAUAAUAAGAAUGAUUUGUCACUUGUGCGUCACUUGCAUAACGGACGAUUAUCAACGCAAGCUGCUUUUUACUAGUGGAGAACAUUGAUGAUAAAUAAAGCUUGACCAAAAAGGACAUAUUAUUUCUUAUAUUUUUUUUUUUAAAUGGUAACCGGGCACUUCAAUAAUUACAUUUGUUUCAAAGUCAGAUUACUAAUUUCAUAAAUAACACACCUCAAUCCCCCGCCUUAUUGAUUGAUCGAAAGUAGGAUGAAAUCAAUCAUUUGGGAAGAAUAUGUAUAUAAGUAUAUGUGUGUAUAUGGAAAUAUGCAGGCCCGUCCCUUCUAUAAGGCCAAUGAAACAUUGACUUCAGGCCACAUAUUAUAAAUACAAAAAGUAGGCCACAUUUUCAAAAAUUACUUGUAGUUUAGAUGGGAAAAGUAAGAGAUGUUAGACCUUUUUGGUCUCUAGUUCGACCACAACCAGUUUUAAAUACAUUUUUCAUUGGUAAUUUUUAUGAAGGGCCACAUUAUUUGACAGGUUUUAAGCCUCAUAAAUCUUUGGGACGGCACUGGAAAUAUGUAUUGCUUAUGUUUUGAUCGAGUGUGAAGGUUUGAAACUAUAUUAUUUUAUAGUUAAGUAACAGAAAAACAAAUAGGUCAAUGGAUGACACGUUAUUAUAAUGUGAAAGGAAAUGAGCCAAUGUCUAUCUUUUCUGGCUUGAUAUACAUAUAACUCUGACUGGCAUAGUGGCAUGUAUGAUGUUUUGAGGACUAACCCUUUCCCAUUGUCUAAGACUAUGUACAUUGGUUCAACUUUUUUAACACCUUAUUUUACUUUUUAUGUUAACACAUCAUCUUUUAUUUCUUCCAUAUAUACAUCUAAUAUUUAUAUUUCAUAAUGAUUUUUUAUAGAAAAAGUCAACACUUUAUCUAUUUAUUUUUAUUUAAUAUUUUGAUUUUAUAACUAAAUAAUAACAGUUAAAACAUAAGAUUUUUUUUAAAAAAAAAUAAAUAAAUAAAAAUAGUUAAGAGUUGAAACUUUCUGAAAUAUUUAAUAAAAUGAUAACAUAAUUUGAAUGAAAAUCUUUAAACUUAUGAUAAAAGAUUUUUUUUGUAUAUGUCCAAAUCAUAUAAAACUAGUCUCUAUUUAUAGAUCAUACAAAUUAUAAAUUUUGAUAUAAUGUAAUAAAAUAAAUAAAUUAAUUUGCUGUAAGAUAAAUGAUUCAAAAUAAGUAAUGUAAAUAUGAAAGACCAAUUAAUAUCAACAACCAAUAAGAAAGUGAUACAGAUUGUUGUGGAUCCCAUAUUUUUGGUUUUUAACAUGUUAAAUAAAUUCACCAGCAAACAAUACAUGCCGUAUUUUUAUUUUUUUCAAAAAGUUAAUUGCAAACAUUCAAUGGUUUAAAAAAUAUUUAACAUGUCCAUUGUAAAUGGUCUUUUACAAAGUACACUCUCAAUCCGAGACUGCAAGGUCUAAUGGUCAGGUGGUUUGCAGCUCAUGACACUGCAAUUUAGAGCUCUAGAAUUAUUUUUUCAAAGUUAGUUGUAUGAACUACCCAUAGUUGUACAUAUAUUCUUUUACUGAUGAUUAAUAAAUUUAAAAAUUCAUCCAAAAAAAAGGUAUAAACAAGAAAAAUAAAUAAACAACCAAUCACUCAUACGAGAAAAAUCCAAACCCACUCAUAUAAGAAUUUUACGACAGUUUCUCUAAAUAAUAACAUUGAAAUCAACAGAGUAAUAUAGGCCAGGAUUAAAACAUAAAGAGAAAAGAAGAAUCAUUUAAAGUACUUAAUUAUAGCUUUAUAGUAUUUUCAACAUCCGACGUCUUACCAGUUCAUAAUUGUUUAUUAAUCUUAAUCAUUAUGAACAAUAUCUCGAACUUAUAACGUCCGGAUAUUGACUUGCCUGAUAAACUAGAAUAAUAAGAGAUAGAGAUAAAGAAAUGAAAGAGGUGGGUGUGAGAAAUGAAAAGAACACUUUUGUUUUGAGUGAUUGGUUGUGUUGGGUAAAAGCUUGACCUAGAAGAUGACACGAUGGUGCUCAAAAUGUUCAAACACAUUACACAAGUGCAUGUGUAAGUAAAGCAAUUAAAAUAAGGAAAAAUGAUUGUUUUUUUACCUUUACUUUCCCAUCAUUCUUCCAUUCAUCUAUCAUUAGACUUUGUAAGAAAGUUAGAAAGUUUUCAAAAGACAAUAAAAAGUUUUCAUCUUUUUGAUCAAACCAUAUUCUCUACCUUCUCAAUGCGCACCGACAACGUUUUUGACUUCGAAAACAAAAGUAGAACUCGAGUGUGAAAAGCAAGAUUCAUUCUUCUUUUUUUCUUUUUAUCUCUCUGGCAUGAUGUUUAUAAUGUGUAUGUAUGUAUUUCUACAAUCACAGAAUCCAAAUAUUCCUUCCAAAAGGAUCAUAUACGGUUACAUAAUUUUUACAGAUAUGAUUUUCCAAAAUAUAAUCAUCCAAUUCAAAAGAUCUAUAUAAACAUAAACAAUCCAAGAUAUCUCGUUGUAAAAAUAGCCAAUGCAACGUAACUUUGGAAGUUAACAUAUUUUACACAAUAUAAUACAUAUGCACACGCAUGGAAAUUCUAUAAAAUACAAAACCUAUAUUCAAAGGUGUAGCGUGCAUAAAAGGUUUAUUUGACCUUUUUCUUGUUUAGAGAAACAAAGUUGGAGAUAAAAAGUCUUUUUUCACAUUGUAUUGAACCGAAAGAUAAAGUAAACUUAGAAAAUAAUGCUAAUAAUUAGGAAAAAGGUGAUUGUCGAAGAAGCAAUAUCACGGGUUAUUCUUUUCACCCACACCGUGACACCACCAAAAUCUUAUCUUCUAUCACCUUUUUUGUAGGAUUUAACAACUUAAAUACUUUUGUUCAAAAAAAAAAAAAACUUAAAUACUUUUGUGUUAGAAAAAACAACUUAAAUACUUUUAAUUUAAACACACUAGUUAGUAAAACAAGAAUCAACUGGGACUGCGUUUACGGUAACUAGAUUCUUUCUCCGCGCUACGCGCGGAUAAUAUAUUUAAAUUUGUUAUAUUUAUCAUUUUUAUUUGUAUGUGAAUUUUUAUAUUAAAUUAUAUAUAACUAAUUUUUAAAUUUCAUUUUUUAUAUAUUUUUAGUUCGAAGUAAGUAUUUCUAUUAUAUGUAAUACAAUUAACUAAUAAAAUAUGAAGAAUCAAGUCCGAGAUUUUAGAGUUAUGUAAAAAAAAUAUUUAUGUAUAGAACAUAAAUUAUCUUAUUUUAAAAAAUCGGAAUCUCAUAUCGAAUAAAUUCACGAAAAGAAAAAGUACUCCAAUAACUUACUUAAAAUAUAAAACCCCCUUUU